GUCAGUGAUAUCAGAGCACUGGGAGGAAGCUGUUACUUCCUCCCACCUAACAGAGCAAUGCAGGAGGAGAGCGCUGGAGAAGGAGGGGAGGUGUCAGAGUGGGAGCUCUAACUUCCAUCCGCUUAAGACAGCCACUGGACCUCAGGGGAGUAACCUUCCUGCACCUUAAACGGUUGAAGAAAGAAGGGUGACUAAUUUUGUUUUACAGUUUGCAUGUGUGUGUGUGUGUGUGUGUGUGUCUGAAUGUCUGUAUCUGUAUGUCUAUAUAUCUGUGUGUGUCUCUG